AUGCAGUGGACAUGCAAAUAAUGUUGUUCCUUUGUGCUAAUGGAAUUCCCUUUAAUGUGUUGAGAAGUCCUCAACACUAUGAAAUGGUAGCAGCCAUCCAGAGAGCACCAAAGGGAUACAAACCUCCUGCAUAUGAGAAGGCUAGGACUACUCUUCUAGAUGCAUGUAAGAGAAAGGUGGAGAAUGAUUUGGCUCCGGUUAGACAAACAUGGUAUUCCCAUGGUGUCUCUGUUGUUUCUGACGGAUGGACAAAUAUGAAGAACCAUCCAUUAAUCAACGUAAUAGCAUCGAAUAGCUGUGGUUCAAUGUUUCUGUACGCAGAAGACUUCUCUGGAGAAGAGAAGACAGGUGAAGCCAUUGCACAAUUCUUACUGCAAGCCAUUGAGGAGAUUGGCCCUUCCAAUGUCCUUCAGGUCAUCACUGAUAAUGCAUCUAAUUGCAGAGUUGCGGGUGAAGAAAUUGAGAAAGUGCAUAAGCAUAUAUUUUGGUCUCCAUGUGUGGUUCACACACUGAAUCUAGUAUUCAAAGAUUUUGCAAAAAAAAGUUUGCUUGGAUGGUUGAUACAUACCAGACUGGGAAAGCAAUUGUGAAGUUCUUUAGGAACCACCAGCACUUUCAAGAUCUCUUUAGACGCAACUCCAAGUUGGAUCUUUUGAAGGUCUCAAAAACAAGAUUUACUUCUCAUUAUAUUGUGCUUAAGAGGCUUAUGGAUGUUCGAGAGGCGCUCACAACUACCAUUGUCACAAGAAAGUGGAAGGAACUGGUGAAGGCUUGUGAUGUACAAACAAGAGCAGCAGCAAAUGCGAUUGCCCAAAAUAUCAUUGAUGAGACAUUUUGGGAUGAGAUUAAAAUCAUCCUUGACAUGACAAAACCAUUAUACAUGGUAAUCAAGUUCAGUGACGGAGAAGGUCCAAAAUCUGGUGAUAUAUAUGAAAGAAUGGACAAUAUGCUUGGCGAGAUGCAAGAAGUCAUGACAAGGGAAGAUAACCCUCACAAAGAUGAUUGGUCGAAGCUAAAUGAAAUUAUUCUUUAUCGAUGGGGAAAGAUGAACUGGCAUUUUCAUUGCUUAGCGUUUGCUCUUUCUCCUAAGUAUUAUGAUCAAGCCUAUCUUGCAAGUCCUGCUCCUGGUGGUGGUCAAAGGAAAGCUCCAAAUGAUGACAGUGAGGUUAUGGAAGGUGUUAUAGAGGCUCUAAAUAGAAUUGCAGAAGAUAAAAAAGAGUAUGCUCUUUUACGUGAGGAGCUUAACACCUUUAUAAUGAAGAAAGGUUUGUAUGCAAUAGACGCCGUUCAGGCUGAUGCAGCCACGAUGAAUGCCACAUAAUGGUGGUUCAAUUAUGGCUCACAAACUCCAACUUUAAGUGAGGUGGCAAAGAAAGUCUUGUCUCAGCCAAUAAGCAGCUCCUCUGCCGAAAGAAAUUGGAGUACCUACUCAUUCAUACAUAAUGUAAAGAGAAACAAGCUGAAUGCAACGACAGCCGAUAAGCUUGUCUUUAUUCAUUCAAACGAGCGUCUGAAGAGGAGGUUUUCAGAGGGCUACAAUUCAGGUCCACAUUAGGAUGUUGAGCCUGAGAAUGAUUUGCUGGAGGAUUCAAGCUUGAAGCUUGAGCAGCUGCGUUGGGAUAGCUUGGAGGAUGAAGCAGCUGAUGCUGAACCACCACACAAAAUUCAGAGGACUUGAAACACUAGGAAGUGUCCGGUACAUGGCGAGUUAAUCUGUUGGUGAAACUUUAUUGGUUGGAAACCUGGAAGAUGAGUCACUUGGAUGCUGCUAUUGAAGUGAUUGUGUCUGUUACCUUAGUCAAUCUGUUUUCUUGUUUGCUACUCUGGUUAAGUCAAGUAUUUUGUUAAGUACUCGUGCUGAAAUUUUAAUUAAAUAUAUC